GUCUAGUCUGCCCACUGAAUUUAUAUUUUAAAUGGCCGCAGUAUUUUGACUGUGCAAAGGUAGCAUAAUCAUUAGUUUUUUAAUUAAAAGCUUGUAUGAAAGGCUGGACGAGGUAAAAUCUGUCUCUAUUUAAAUUAUAAUAGAAUUUAACUUUUAAGUUAAAAGGCUUAAAUAAUAUUAAAAGACGAGAAGACCCUAUAGAUCUUUAUAAUUUAUUUAAUAAAAUUAAUUUAGAAUUAUUUAUAUUUUAUUAAAUUAAAUUAUUUUAUUGGGGUAAUAGAAAGAUUAAAUUAAUUCUUUUUUAUAAUAAACAUUUAUUUAUGAAUAUUAAAUGAUCCAGUUUUAUUGAUUAUAAGAUUAAGUUACCUUAGGGAUAACAGCGUAAUUUUUUUAGAGAGUUCAUAUCGAUAAAAAAGUUUGCGACCUCGAUGUUGGAUUAAAGAUUAUUUUAGGUGCAGAAGCUUAAUAAUUUUGGUCUGUUCGACCAUUGAAUCUUUACAUGAUCUGAGUUCAGACCGGUGUAAGCCAGGUCGGUUUCUAUCUUUAAUAAUAUAAAAUAUUUUAGUACGAAAGGACCAAAUAUUUGAUAUAUUUAUAUUUAAUUUAUUGAAUUUUAUUAAAAUUAUUGUUAUUUUGGCAGAUUAGUGCAAUGAAUUUAGAAUUCAUUUAUGUAAAUUAUUUACAAAUAAUACUUGUUUUAUAUAGAUAUUGUAUUUUCUUUAGUAUGUAUAUUAUUAUUAAUUAUUUGUGUUUUAGUAGGAGUUGCUUUUUUAACUUUAUUAGAACGAAAGGUUUUAGGAUAUAUCCAGAUUCGUAAGGCCCUAAUAAAGUAGGAUUUAUGAG
rnacentral:rRNA from 1 species